CAAAUUUCAACCCUAGUUAUUCUCCCGCAAUUUUUUUUUCUCACUUUUCUCUCCAGACGACCUUAAUUUGCCAUUCUCUAUAAUCUCUCUCUCGGUCUGUCUGUCUGUCUGUCUGUCUCUCUCUCUAUUACUUUCUUCUUGCUGGUUUGAUUUGGGUAGCUGAUUGUGGGUUGAUUUUCGGAAUGGGCAGUGCAGUAAUGGAAGAAGAUGAAGGAGGGAUGAGCUCACUACCAAGGAAGAAGAAAUGGGUAAGGUGAAUUUUUUUUUGGGCUUUUCGUCAGUUACCUCCCUCUCUUUAUUCGGUUGGGGCGGCAGAGCAGCGCCUAGGCAAGUGGGUCACGGGCCCGACGCCGGAAAACAUCAUAAUCCUUUGGAUCCCUACGUUUUCCGGUGACCAAAUACGGUGGAGAGGCUUUUUGGUAUGUGUUAAUUUCUGUUGAUUUCGUUACAUAUGUGUUUUGAUUUGGUUGGUGAGCCAUUGGCCUUAGUGGGCAGGGGAAUUAGAACUGAAUAAAGCUGGGAGAGUUUUGAAUGCAAUGUGAUUCUUGCAAUUAAUUGCGUAAGGGAAAAAGAGCGUAUCAUUUUUUAGAUGCCAUUUCCUUCCAUUUAGUUAUUUCAUUACUAAAAAUUGCCAAAAUGGGUUUUUCUCUCCCUGACCCGAAUUCAGGGCUUUCUUUGCCUUAGCAUGUUUCCGUAAAAGUACCUUGAGAGGUUUGUUGUUUUUUUUUUUUAGUCUGUUUGUUUCAAGAGAGCGUCUUGGUUACUGAGGUUGCACAAAGGUGGCUUUUGUGCCACCAAUCCAAUCUUACCAGACUUAAUUUUAGAAAAAAAAAACCCUGCUGCACUAGAUUAUAUACCAGGUUUGAGGAAAUAAAAACUUCAAAAAUUAAUUUUUUUUUAAAAAAAUAGAAGUGGUGGCUGCCAACCGGCAACCGGCAGCCACCACAAGUGGGCGUUGGGGGUGGCUGUGCAGCGGGGAAUGGCUUGCGCGGCCACCCCCUGGGUGGGGAUGGCUGCGUCGGAAAGCGUGAGGGAGAGAGUUCUGGCGGAGAGAGAGAUCUGGCCGAGAGAGAGGGGGGAGAGAUCCAGGCCACUGGGGCGGCUCGUGGCCACCCCCCAGGCCACAGGGGGUGGCUCGCGUGGCCACCCCUCUCCAUUGCAAAACCUUUUUUUUUUUUUUGUUUUUUUCUUUUUUUAAAUGAUUAAACCUGAUAUAAUCAGGUGGUUUGGUUUUAUUUUGGUAAUGUGUUCCAUGAUAAGGUGGUAGAUGAUGAAUGGUUGGCACAAAAGAGGACUUUUGUGGAACCUUAGUAUAUAAGUUAUUCUCUUGUUGUUUCAAUAUCUGUGAAGUUCAGCAAGUUGUUGCAAAUGUUAGAUGUUUACUUUCUGUAGGGUGUUUGAUAAUGUUUUGGAGAGAGAUUUGUUAGGAAACAAGAAAAAAGAACUGGAAAUUUUGUUGUAUUUGGUGGUUUAGUUAGUUGCUUUUUGGUGGGUAUCAUGCAGUUCCUGGAUUUAUUGGUCUAAAUUGACAAUUCAAGUCGAGUUUUGGGUUUACUCUGAAUCUGGUUCUGGUAAUGCUACUGUUUUAGAUAAAUUAUGGUUGUUUCUCACAUUUUGGGGGCAUAGAAUUUGUUGUGAUGGUUGGUCAAUGUUACCAAAAUUUGUUUUUGUUUUUUUGUUUUUGUCUUUGGGGGCUGUAGGCUUUUUUUACGUUACUUAAAGCUAGAUCCUGCACCGAAAUAUCAAAGAUCGAAUAUCCUAUUUGAAAACCUUAGUAAGGCAGAAACUCAAACCUUAUUCUUUGUAUGGUGGAAAGAAAUUUGUUUUAGUCUAGCUUUCAUUUACCCUCACGGAAAAGUAACAUUGCUAGCCAUCUGGGCCUCAUAAUCUUUCUUUUUCACUAAACAAGGGUAAGCAACAACAAUGCCUACAUGCCCACAUAAACAAAUAGGAAAAGAAGAGUAGCUAGUCAUGUGCUUUGCUUGGGUUGAUCAUAGAGUGUAUCUAUAAAGAACCAGCUAUUCGUCUCAGAAGAAACAAAUAGCAAAGGAACAUGCAGAAUAUCCAAACUAAAAGCUUCAUCAUCCUCCUCUUGGUACUAUGAAUAUAGCAAGGUUCUUGAUAUUGAGGAGGGGCAGGCUGUGAGUGAAGAUGAAGAUGAGAUGGAACAUGGGAUAGAAUAUGUUGAGGGUUAUGAUGAACUUGAAGAGGAAGAUGAUAUAGAAGAUUUUGGUGAUAUUGCAAUUGCUCAGUCUCAUGCGGAUUACGACAAUGAUGAGGAAGAGGUUGAGCAGUUGCUGGCAAGAGAGUGAGGAAGGAAACUGCCUUGGCUUCAGGAAAGCUUGAUAAAGGUGAACCUGGUGCAAAAUUGAAGAAGAGAGCAAGGGUGCUUGUUGAGUUGAGCAUGAAGAUGCUGAUGAAAGACUGUUGGCUGUCCACUAAGGGCUUGUAGCAUAUUGCUUUAUUUGUUUGACCUGUAAACCGGAGAAUGGCAGAGAUAUCAUUCAAAGCUCAGUCCACAGCGAGGGAAAGUUACUAAAGAGGAUGCAAUUUUGAUAGCUGAAUCUUGAUUACGGUUGAAAGAUUUUCUUAAUUAGGUACUGGCGUUUCUUGAUUUCCUCUAGUUUUAUUAAUUAUUAUUGGUUUCCUCUCUUUGGGAGAAGGGGCUGUACAAGAGUGCAAUAGUGGACACUUGAAGUCUUUCUGGUCCCAGUUUUUUGUUUAUGUCACUGCCUCUCAGAAAUGCAAUAUGCUUGCUUAGGUUUUCCAGAUUAGAGCAAGUACCAUUUCAUCACUGUCAUCAUUUGUGUGAUUCGUCUUAUAAAACAUUAAGUUGUGAGUUCCAGUCAAAUUUUAUA